GGUGGCUCAGUGGUAGAGCACUUGCCUUGUACGCCAGAAGCCCUGGGUUCGAUUCCUCAGUACCA
rnacentral:tRNA from 1 species